rnacentral:snoRNA from 1 species
GAGCAGGUGAUGAAAGAGAUUGAAUUUAGAAGAUGCUGACUUCCAUGAGGCUUUCUAAAUCGAGCUUUUUAAAACUGAUGCUCA